ACCAAAUCUUGUUCCCCGAGAUUCCCAGUUUUCCUUAUCUUCUCCGAAUUAACCACUCUACGAUCCAUCAACAUACAUCGUUUGCCUACUCCGAUCCGUCUUCCCUUGUACAGACGACCCCUGAUCUGAAAAAGAUCCCCUCCACUCACUGUUUCUUUGAUAAUACCCGGAUCCCAUCUUCGAGAAAACAUGGAACCCUCUUUUACCUCUGUUCAAAUUAAUGAAAGAUCUUUUUUAAACAGUAAAUAUUGAUAUCCGAACAAGAUUUUAUAAUUUAAAAGCGUAUAGAAGCUCUAUUGGAUUUUUUUAUAACACUCUAUUGGAUUUUAUCAAAUCUAUACAGCCUAAUCUUCAUAAUCGGAUAGUUGUUAUACUAGAUUCUAAUUUAUUUUCCUUUCAUAAAUACUUAAACAUUUAAAUAUUAAUACUUUGAU
rnacentral:lncRNA from 1 species